rnacentral:rRNA from 1 species
UGGGGAAUAUUGGACAAUGGGCGAAAGCCUGAUCCAGCCAUGCCGCGUGAGUGAUGAAGGCCUUCGGGUCGUAAAGCUCUGUGGGGAGGGACGAAAAGACGGUGGCUAAUACUCACCGGAAUUGACGGUACCUCCUUAGCAAGCACCGGCUAACUCCGUGCCAGCAGCCGCGGUAAUACGGAGGGUGCAAACGUUGCUCGGAAUCAUUGGGCGUAAAGCGCACGUAGGCGGUCAUCUAAGUCGGGUGUGAAAGCCCUGGGCUCAACCCAGGAAGAGCACUUGAAACUGGAUGGCUUGAGUAUGGAAGAGGGUCGCGGAAUUCCCGGUGUAGAGGUGAAAUUCGUAGAUAUCGGGAGGAACACCAGUGGCGAAGGCGGCGACCUGGGCCAAUACUGACGCUGAGGUGCGAAAGCGUGGGGAGCAAACAG